AACGAACGCUGGCGGCAGGCUUAACACAUGCAAGUCGAGCGCCCCGCAAGGGGAGCGGCAGACGGGUGAGUAACACGUGGGGACCUACCUGAAGGUACGGAACAACUCCGGGAAACUGGAGCUAAUACCGUAUGUGCCCGAAAGGGGAAAGAUUUAUCGCCUUCAGAUGGGCCCGCGUCAGAUUAGCUAGUUGGUGAGGUAACGGCUCACCAAGGCGACGAUCUGUAGCUGGUCUGAGAGGAUGAUCAGCCACACUGGGACUGAGACACGGCCCAGACUCCUACGGGAGGGAGCAGUGGGGAGUAUUGGACAAGGGGCGAGAAGCUGAUCCAGCCAUGCGGCGUGAGUGAUGACGGGCUUAGGGUUGUAAAGCUCGUUCGACGGGGACGAUAAUGACGGUGCCCGUAGAAGAAGCCCCGGCUAACUUCGUGCCAGCCGCCGCCGUAACAC
rnacentral:rRNA from 1 species